AAACCAACAGGGAUUGCCCUAGUAACGGCGAGUGAAGCGGCAAGAGCUCAAAUUUGAAAUCUGGCCCUCUCAGGGUCCGAGUUGUAAUUUGUAGAGGGCGCUUUGGCGUUGGCCCCGGCCUAAGUUCCUUGGAACAGGACGUCACAGAGGGUGAGAACCCCGUACGUGGCCGCCGGCCUCCGCCGUGUAAAGCCCCUUCGACGAGUCGAGUUGUUUGGGAAUGCAGCUCUAAAUGGGAGGUAAAUUUCUUCUAAAGCUAAAUACUGGCCAGAGACCGAUAGCGCACAAGUAGAGUGAUCGAAAGAUGAAAAGCACUUUGGAAAGAGAGUCAAAAAGCACGUGAAAUUGUUGAAAGGGAAGCGCUUGCAGCCAGACUUGCCUGUAGUUGUUCAUCCGUGCCACUGGCACGGUGCACUCUUCUGCGGGCAGGCCAGCAUCAGUCCGGGCGGUCGGAUAAAGGCCUCGGGAAUGUAGCUCCCCUCGGGGAGUGUUAUAGCCCGGGGUGCCAUGCGACCAGCCUGGACUGAGGUCCGC
rnacentral:rRNA from 1 species